GUUCCUGUCGUCUAGAUGGCCGAGGACACCGGACUCUCAAUUCGGCAACACGGGUUCGAAUCCCGUCAGGAACGCCA
rnacentral:tRNA from 1 species